rnacentral:rRNA from 1 species
AGUAAUGUAUGGGGAUCUGCCCGAUAGAGGGGAAUAACUACUGGAAACGGUGGCUAAUACCGCAUAAUGUCUACGGACCAAAGCAGGGGCUCUUCGGACCUUGCACUACCGGAUGAACCCAUAUGGGAUUAGCUAGUAGGUGGGGUAAAGGCUCACCUAGGCGACGAUCUCUAGCUGGUCUGAGAGGAUGAUCAGCCACACUGGGACUGAGACACGGCCCAG